rnacentral:rRNA from 1 species
AAGUUGGUGGUUAUUAGUUUUUAAUUUGUUAUGAUUAAUGUUUAAAGAAUUAUUAUGUUUUAGUAUUUUUAAUGAAAUGAUUUUUUUAAUUAUAGAGUAGAAGUAUUGUGAAAGAAUUUAAUUAUUUAAGAUAAAGAAGAUUUUAUUUGUUGUACCUUGUGUGUCAGGGUUUAUUUAAUUUAGGAUUUUAUAAUUGUUUCCCGAAUUCGUAAGAGUUAAUUUUCUAAUAUUUUGUUGUGAAAGAACCAAUAUUAAUAGAGAGUUAGAAAUGAAACGUUAAUCGUUUUCGAAUAUAUCUGGUUUUUGAAGAAAUAAAUUUAAUUUGGAGCAAGUUUUUAAUUUUUCUUUUGUUUGAAAUUUUAAAGGCUUGUUUUAAUAUUUAAGGGGAUGAGCUCUUAUUUUAAGUUUUAAAAGCUUGUUUUUGUUUUAGUUAAAUAGGAUUAGAAAUGUUUAUUUUUUAUAGUUUUUAAUAAUUAGGCUGAUGUUUAAUAUAAUUUUUAUAUGCUUUAAUUGAUGUAUUUAAAUUUAAUUAUUAAUUUUUAAUUUUUAGUAAUAAUGAUAGAAUUAUUAUAGUAUAUUUGUGUUGUUUAACAAAACAAAUUUAGUUCAUUGAGAGGAACUCGGCAAAAUGUCUUUCCGCCUGUUUAAUCAAAACAUGUCUUUUUGAAUAUUAAUUUAAAGUCUGGCCUGCCCACUGAUAUUUUGAAUGGCCGCAGUAUAUUGACUGUGCAAAGGUAGCAUAAUCAUUAGUUUUUUAAUUGAGAACUGGAAUGAAUGGCUGGACGAGAAAGAAGCUGUCUUUUAAUGAUUUUAUUAAAAUUUUAUUUUUAAGUUAAAAAGCUUAAAUUUUUUAUAAAGACGAGAAGACCCUAUAGAGUUUAAUUUAUAGAUAUUAUAAUUUGCUAGAAUGUAAUGAGUUAAAGUGUUUUAUAAAUUUUGUUGGGGUGAUGUAAAAAUUAGUUAAACUUUUUAUUUAUUAAAACAUUUAUUGAUGAUUAGUUGAUCCUGGAGGCUGGAUUAAUAGACUAAAUUACCUUAGGGAUAACAGCGUAAUUUUUUUUGAGAGUUCUUAUUGAAAAAAAAGUUUGCGACCUCGAUGUUGAAUUAAAGUUUAAUUUUGGUGCAGAAGCUAAAAGUUUAAGUCUGUUCGACUUUUGAAACUUUACAUGAUUUGAGUUUAAACCGGCGUGAGCCAGGUUGGUUUCUAUCUUUUAAUGAUUGAGAUGUUUUAGUACGAAAGGACCAAUUAUCUGAAUAAGAUUUUUUUAUGAGAAUAAAGU